UUUAAUUACAAGGAAUAAAUAGUAUAAAGACUAUAUUUUCUUAAUUCACCCCUGAACUGCAAGGUUUACAAUUACUCAUUUCCUGUUUGCAAAGAUUUUGCAUCUGCUGUGUUUCAUUAGAUAUUACACAGUUUUAUUCCGUUUUCCCUGUUACGUGAGUCCAUAUCUUCUUUAAGAAGAUACUGUGCAUGAUGUGGAAAUAUUUUAGAACAAUUUUAGACAAAGGCGAGUCCUUUCACAACUUUUCCAGUGGCAUGUCAUGUUGCCUUGUUGAUGUGUAUACCAUGCUACCGAGUCCGAUGCCAGUAAAGAAGCUUGAGAAUUCCUGUUGUAGUUUUCAAUUUAUCAGGACUGUAUCAUGAUAAAAGACAUCCCAACGUAGACCAGCUUGUCAGACAAUAAGACAGCAACUCAUGAAUUGUAAAGAAGUACCAAGAUUACAUAGACAAUAUCAUUGUCAAUGUCCAUGACUGCAUGAUCAAGCAAUGGAGCAUGUAUCUUGAUAACUUCUAAAGACAUUUUUGUAUGUGUGGCUUUUCCCUUGACUGUCUUGACUGUACAUGGUGUAUGCACCUCUAUCAAUGUGAAAAGGUGGAGCAAUAACAGGAGUAUCCAGGCAUGACAAAAACAGAAAGAUCCCUAGACCAUGGAGUAAUAGCUAUAUAUAGUAUUUCUAACCAGUGUUACCAAGUCUACCAAGAAAACUAGUACUGAAAAAGGUUUCACACACACACAAUGUUGGUUCAUGUGAGAGGAAGAAGUGAUUUGUUGGAGAAAGUGCUUGCUUGUCUUUAUCUACAAAUGAUGUACAUUUUACAGUACACAGAACAUUGAGGGAUUGAUUGAAGGAAGCUUAAGAACACAGAAUAAGAAUUAAAAGAAUAAAUUCUUAUAGAUACAAAGCAAACAUUACAAAAAAAAUAUGAAGCUGAAAGUUUACUUGCCU